AGAGACAGCACCGCCGCGGGAAUACAGAGGGUGCGAGCGUUAAUCGGAUUUACUGGGCGUAAAGCGUGCGUAGGCGGCUUCUUAAGUCGGAUGUGAAAUCCCUGAGCUUAACUUAGGAAUUGCAUUCGAUACUGGGAAGCUAGAGUAUGGGAGAGGAUGGUAGAAUUCCAGGUGUAGCGGUGAAAUGCGUAGAGAUCUGGAGGAAUACCGAUGGCGAAGGCAGCCAUCUGGCCUAAUACUGACGCUGAGGUACGAAAGCAUGGGGAGCAAACAGGAUUAGAUACCCCCGUAGUCCCUGUCUCUUAUACC
rnacentral:rRNA from 1 species